rnacentral:rRNA from 1 species
CAGACCUGAAAUCAGGCGAGGUUACCCGCUGAACUUAAGCAUAUUAUUAAGCGGAGGAGAAGAAAAUAACUAUGAUUCCCUUAGUAACGGCGAGUGAACCGGGAUCAGCUCAAAGUGGAAAUCAACUGCUCUUUCCGAGCUGUUGACUUGUAGCCUCGAGAGGCGUUACCAGUGGAAGCGCAGGGUUAAGUUUCUUGGGAAAGAACAUCAUAGAGGGUGAGAAUCCCGUCCUUCCCCUGCGUUUUUUGUUCCACGUACGGUACGCUUUUAUAGAGUCGCGUUCAUCGGGAUUUGAGCGCAAAAUGUGUGGUAGGUUUCACAUAAAGCUAAGUACUGGCGCGAGACCGAUAGCAAACAAGUACCGUGAGGGAAAGAUGAAAAGUUCUUUGGAAAGAGAGUUAAAAGUGCCUGAAAUUGCUGAAAAGGAAGCGAUUGGGACCUUUUUGAUUCCAAGAAGUGCCGCCGGUUUGCCAUCUAUCCCUUUGCCUUCUCUCUCUCACCAGGUUUAGGCUUUGGUUUCUUGAUGUAUUUCCGGUUCAUCUUUUUGGAGAGGUCAGCAUCAGCUACUCGGAAUUGAUUUCGUUCAAAGAAGGUAGGUUCCUUGUGGACCGUUAUAUCUUUGUUCUUUCCUUUUCCUUGUGGGCUGAGGAGUGUUCCUGUUUCCGAGCUCCACUUUCGAGUACUCGGUUUCUGUGAUGCUGGCUUAAUCGGUUCCAACCGACCCGUCUUGAAACACGGACCAGGAGUCUACAUAUG